AGUGAACGCUGGCGGUAGGCCUAACACAUGCAAGUCGAACGGCAGCACAGUAAGAGCUUGCUCUUACGGUUGGCGAGUGGCGGACGGGUGAGGAAUACAUCGGAAUCUACUUUUUCGUGGGGGAUAACGUAGGGAAACUUACGCUAAUACCGCAUACGACCUACGGGUGAAAGCAGGGGAUCUUCGGACCUUGCGCGAGUGAAUGAGCCGAUGUCGGAUUAGCUAGUUGGCGGGGUAAAGGCCCACCAAGGCGACGAUCCGUAGCUGGUCUGAGAGGAUGAUCAGCCACACUGGAACUGAGACACGGUCCAGACUCCUACGGGAGGCAGCAGUGGGGAAUAUUGGACAAUGGGCGCAAGCCUGAUCCAGCCAUACCGCGUGGGUGAAGAAGGCCUUCGGGUUGUAAAGCCCUUUUGUUGGGAAAGAAAAGCAGCAGGUUAAUACCCCGCUGUUCUGACGGUACCCAAAGAAUAAGCACCGGCUAACUUCGUG
rnacentral:rRNA from 1 species